UUUAAAAGCUAAAACCAAACCGAAUAUAGAAAUUAGCUGGGAAAGAAAACCCAUAGCUGAAAUUCCCCGAGAUGACUCGCAUUUAAAGAGACGGCAAGUCCAAAGCUGCUCUUCAACACUUGUUGCUGAAAUGAACAGGUAGCGAUUUAGCGGGUCAAGCUAUUUGAAACAACGACAAAACCUGUUCAUAAUAAAACGUUGAUGGGCUUUGUUGAGCUAUUACCGACAAGCCAAAUAGACGGCAAAUCUACUUCUAAAGUAUGCAAUCUCGACGGCAAAUCUACG